rnacentral:lncRNA from 1 species
UUUGUUUUUCAUAAUUUAUUGUACAUUUCUUCCAUUAUCUUAUAUCCAAACUAAUAAACAGUACAUUUCCAUUUAUACAAAAUAUAAACUAUAAGGGGGGGAUAUAAAUCUAACAUCAACCCUUCCCAUAUGGUUACACAAACAGUCAUUUCCUGGGUCUAACCCAUGGAUGAAGGGGGGAAAGGUGUCAAUCAAACCCUCAUUGUAAAAGACCAGAACUCUUUAGAAAUCACAAGGCAAAAACUGACACUGAGUCCUGCGGCAACUUCUCUCUGCUACAUACAUCAUCUCUUUGACAUUUCUAAUAAAAAGACCCAAGAGCCGAAUUAUGAAAAACCAACUAAAGUUUCAUCUGGCUUGGUGUGUUUGGAGUGUGUGUGUGUGAACAGAACAGAACAGAACAGAACCGCAGGCUUUUCAUAUUGAAUGUUAAGUUGGAUUUGAAGCCACAAAAAGAACCUCAGUACACUCAAGUGGUCCGCAUUUCAAUCAAGACACGUGACAUGACAACCGCAGCCCUGAGCAUCUCCAACAUGUGGUGGCGUGACUAUGGAAACGCAGGCCAAAGGGAAGCUGGGUGCACCAACGCUCCUUUUGAUCCCAUGCAUGGGGGGCUGAGGGGGCUCAGUGAUGAUCUCCAGCUGAGGACUGGACCCCCUUUAAUGAGAGAAAUGUCUUAAAUUGCAUCUUUUUAUCGUGACUUAAGGAGGACAAAGAGGGUUGUGAAGUCCAUCCUUGUUAGUCUUGUGGUCUCUGUGCAGUGAAGGGUGGAGGAACGAGGAGGCAAGACCGGGUGGGAUGACUGGCUGGGAGGUGAGGAGGAGGAGGAGGAGGAGGAGGAGGAGGGGAGCUCUGGGGUCCAGGCUUCAACAGAAGUGCUGCAGAAGAGAGGCGGCCAUGAUGAGAGGGAUCAGGAAGGGGAAGGUGCUGGCUGCGUGCAGCGAGACGCCCGCUCCGGUAGGGGAAGUGGUGUUGGUUGAACUGCUGAGGGUUCCUGUUGCCAUGGUGGUGGCGUUGGGGUUGGAGGUGGAGUUUCCUCCCGCUGUGGGGUCUGUGCUGUUAUUGGAGACCGCCUGUUUGAGAGGUGGGGGAGAGGAGGAUGAGAAGGGUUGAAAACUGCAAAGUUACCCCGUUCAAAAGCCUGUUCUUUAAAGGGCAAACGAGGGAAAACUGUGGCGACAAAAACCCGAUGAUUUAAAUAAAAUGUAAAUUAAUCAACAAAGUUUGACUUUGUGGGAUUUGAGGUUUUCCAACAAAAUGAAGCAAACUGAGAGCAUGAAUUAAACCUGCUUUAAAACAACUGGAUCUGCAGUCAGACAUGUCCCCAAAAGGACAUAAAAACAAGCACGAGUGUUUCUGAUAGCGUUAGGAUGGCUGCAGAUAAGAGAAAAUAGCUUCUGCGCCUGCGUGUCAAGUUUCGUUUGGCUCUCCGCACUAAAACGUAACUUUAGCUUCUCUCCCCACCUUUGCACAGGUACACAAUACAGUGCACCUGAAUCAUUAAUUCACUGGAGUGUGAGCCAGAGAAGAGGCAGAAAUACAUGUGAAAAACACUUUUAUGACAGACAAAGACCUUUAAUUACACCCACCCUGAAAUCUAACCCUGAUCAUGUUAAUUUCCCCAGAGAGACUCAAGUCGAACCUGAAACAGUCCAUACAGUCAACCCCAUUAUCAGUCUGGAGAUGUCUGUAUAAUCAAUUAACCCAUCAUUAAAAAAGAUCCUUUUAUCAGUGAUCAAACUAACGCUGAUCUAUGAAAGAAAUAAAAUCAAUAAUCACUAAAUUAAGAACAUUAUUAUCUGCUGUAUAAAUAAAAAGAGUCUCCUUACCUCUCGUGUUAAACAGAUGGCAAACAAAAGCACUCCGAUCUGAACGAUGCUCAGUUUAGACAUCUUCUCUUCUUUUAUUGGUUAAUUCUUUUGGCCCAAUCAGGUGAGGGUUUGCUCUCAGACUCGGAUCCUCUCUAAUGU